GAAAGGAAGAUUAAUACAAGAUGGCAUCAUGAGUCCGCAUGUUCACAUGAUUAAAGGUAUUCCGGUAGACGAUGGGGAUGCGUUCCAUUAGAUAGUAGGCGGGGUAACGGCCCACCUAGUCUUCGAUGGAUAGGGGUUCUGAGAGGAAGGUCCCCCACAUUGGAACUGAGACACGGUCCAAACUCCUACGGGAGGCAGCAGCGAGGAAUAUUGGUCAAUGGGCGAGAGCCUGAACCAGCCAAGUAGCGUGAAGGAUGACUGCCCUAUGGGUUGUAAACUUCUUUUAUAAAGGAAUAAAGUCGGGUAUGGAUACCCGUUUGCAUGUACUUUAUGAAUAAGGAUCGGCUAACUCCGUGCCAGCAGCCGCGGUAAUACGGAGGAUCCGAGCGUUAUCCGGAUUUAUUGGGUUUAAAGGGAGCGUAGAUGGAUGUUUAAGUCAGUUGUGAAAGUUUGCGGCUCAACCGUAAAAUUGCAGUUGAUACUGGAUAUCUUGAGUGCAGUUGAGGCAGGCGGAAUUCGUGGUGUAGCGGUGAAAUGCUUAGAUAUCACGAAGAACUCCGAUUGCGAAGGCAGCCUGCUAAGCUGCAACUGACAUUGAGGCUCGAAAGUGUGGGUAUCAAACAGGAUUAGAUACCCUGGUAGUCCACACGGUAAACGAUGAAUACUCGCUGUUUGCGAUAUACUGCAAGCGGC
rnacentral:rRNA from 1 species